rnacentral:rRNA from 1 species
AACGAACGCUGGCGGUAUGCUUAACACAUGCAAGUCGAACGAACAAAAUUGGGGCUUGCUCCAAUUUUAGUGAGUGGCAAACGGGUGAGUAACACGUGGGAAUCUACCUAUCAGUACGGAAUAACAUUUGGAAACAGAUGCUAAUACCGUAUAUUCUUCAAGGAGGAAAGAUUUAUCGCUGAUAGAUGAGCCCGCGCAAGAUGAGGUAGUUGGUAGGGUAAUGGCCUACCAAGCCUACGAUCUUUAGCUGGUCUGAGAGGAUGAUCAGCCACACUGGGACUGAGACACGGCCCAGACUCCUACGGGAGGCAGCAGUGGGGAAUAUUGGACAAUGGGCGAAAGCCUGAUCCAGCAAUACCGCGUGAAUGAUGAAGGCCUUAGGGUUGUAAAGUUCUUUUAGUUGGAAAGAUAAUGACGGUACCAACAGAAAAAGCCCCGGCUAACUCCGUGCCAGCCGCCGCGGUAA